CACCAUUUGAAGACAGGACUUCCUUUUCUGACACAUGGUCACAGGAGCACAUGGUGUGAGAAGAAGCAGUCGACCUCACCUUGACUCCCUCCUGUAAGAUACGUUCCUCUCAGAGUAACACUUCCAAACAGCCGGCCCUCCCUCACGCAUUCACGGGUGAUGAAAAGGAUUGUUCUGCGGAUCCGUUGAGCCCGCUGGAGCCCCACCAGUGGUAACACAGAUAAUGGCCUAGAAUCAUACUUUGGGAAAGUAGGCCGCUGACAGGCUCGUGCUUGUUCCCGGACCCCAGAGGAAGACACUCACAAAGGUUUGCCUUCGAUUCUGAACCCCUGCUGUGGAGGAG